CCCAGUGCUCCCAGUGCCGUCCCAGUGCUCCUAGUGCCCCCAGAUACCCUCUUAGGGCUCCCCAAUACCUCCCAGUACCCUCCCAGUGCUCCCAGUGCCAUCCCAGUGCUCCCAGUGACCCUCCCCAGUGCUCCCAGUGCCGUCCCAGUGCUCCUAGUGCCCCCAGAUACCCUCUUAGGGCUCCCCAAUACCUCCCAGUACCCUCCCAGUGCUCCCAGUGCCAUCCCAGUGCUCCCAGUGACCCUCCCCAGUGCUCCCAGUGCCGUCCCAGUGCUCCUAGUGCCCCCAGAUACCCUCUUAGGGCUCCCCAAUACCUCCCAGUACCCUCCCAGUGCUCCCAGUGCCAUCCCAGUGCUCCCAGUGACCCUCCCCAGUGCUCCCAGUGCCGUCCCAGUGCUCCUAGUGCCCCCAGAUACCCUCUUAGGGCUCCCCAAUACCUCCCAGUACCCUCCCAGUGCUCCCAGUGCCAUCCCAGUGCUCCCAGUGACCCUCCCCAGUGCUCCCAGUGCCGUCCCAGUGCUCCUAGUGCCCCCAGAUACCCUCUUAGGGCUCCCCAAUACCUCCCAGUACCCUCCCAGUGCUCCCAGUGCCAUCCCAGUGCUCCCAGUGACCCUCCCCAGUGCUCCCAGUGCCGUCCCAGUGCUCCUAGUGCCCCCAGAUACCCUCUUAGGGCUCCCCAAUACCUCCCAGUACCCUCCCAGUGCUCCCAGUGCCAUCCCAGUGCUCCCAGUGACCCUCCCCAGUGCUCCCAGUGCCGUCCCAGUGCUCCUAGUGCCCCCAGAUACCCUCUUAGGGCUCCCCAAUACCUCCCAGUACCCUCCCAGUGCUCCCAGUGCCAUCCCAGUGCUCCCAGUGACCCUCCCCAGUGCUCCCAGUGCCGUCCCAGUGCUCCUAGUGCCCCCAGAUACCCUCUUAGGGCUCCCCAAUACCUCCCAGUACCCUCCCAGUGCUCCCAGUGCCAUCCCAGUGCUCCCAGUGACCCUCCCCAGUGCUCCCAGUGCCGUCCCAGUGCUCCUAGUGCCCCCAGAUACCCUCUUAGGGCUCCCCAAUACCUCCCAGUACCCUCCCAGUGCUCCCAGUGCCAUCCCAGUGCUCCCAGUGACCCUCCCCAGUGCUCCCAGUGCCGUCCCAGUGCUCCUAGUGCCCCCAGAUACCCUCUUAGGGCUCCCCAAUACCUCCCAGUACCCUCCCAGUGCUCCCAGUGCCAUCCCAGUGCUCCCAGUGACCCUCCCCAGUGCUCCCAGUGCCGUCCCAGUGCUCCUAGUGCCCCCAGAUACCCUCUUAGGGCUCCCCAAUACCUCCCAGUACCCUCCCAGUGCUCCCAGUGCCAUCCCAGUGCUCCCAGUGACCCUCCCCAGUGCUCCCAGUGCCGUCCCAGUGCUCCUAGUGCCCCCAGAUACCCUCUUAGGGCUCCCCAAUACCUCCCAGUACCCUCCCAGUGCUCCCAGUGCCAUCCCAGUGCUCCCAGUGACCCUCCCCAGUGCUCCCAGUGCCGUCCCAGUGCUCCUAGUGCCCCCAGAUACCCUCUUAGGGCUCCCCAAUACCUCCCAGUACCCUCCCAGUGCUCCCAGUGCCAUCCCAGUGCUCCCAGUGACCCUCCCCAGUGCUCCCAGUGCCGUCCCAGUGCUCCUAGUGCCCCCAGAUACCCUCUUAGGGCUCCCCAAUACCUCCCAGUACCCUCCCAGUGCUCCCAGUGCCAUCCCAGUGCUCCCAGUGACCCUCCCCAGUGCUCCCAGUGCCGUCCCAGUGCUCCUAGUGCCCCCAGAUACCCUCUUAGGGCUCCCCAAUACCUCCCAGUACCCUCCCAGUGCUCCCAGUGCCAUCCCAGUGCUCCCAGUGACCCUCCCCAGUGCUCCCAGUGCCGUCCCAGUGCUCCUAGUGCCCCCAGAUACCCUCUUAGGGCUCCCCAAUACCUCCCAGUACCCUCCCAGUGCUCCCAGUGCCAUCCCAGUGCUCCCAGUGACCCUCCCCAGUGCUCCCAGUGCCGUCCCAGUGCUCCUAGUGCCCCCAGAUACCCUCUUAGGGCUCCCCAAUACCUCCCAGUACCCUCCCAGUGCUCCCAGUGCCAUCCCAGUGCUCCCAGUGACCCUCCCCAGUGCUCCCAGUGCCGUCCCAGUGCUCCUAGUGCCCCCAGAUACCCUCUUAGGGCUCCCCAAUACCUCCCAGUACCCUCCCAGUGCUCCCAGUGCCAUCCCAGUGCUCCCAGUGACCCUCCCCAGUGCUCCCAGUGCGGUCCCAGUGCUCCCAGAGACCCUCCUCAGUGCUCCCAGUGCCACCCCAGUGUUCCUAGUACUCCCAGAGACCCUUCCCAGUGCUCCCAGUGCCACUCCAGUGGCUUCCCAGUGCCCCCAGUUCUCCUGCAGACCAUCCCCAGUGCUCCCAGUGCCUUCCCAGUGCUCCCAGUUCUCCUGGAGACCAUCCCCAGUGCUCCCAGUGCCCUUCCAGUGCUCCUAGAGUUCCCAGAGACCCUCCCCAGUUCUCCCAGUGCUAUUCCAGUGCUUCCAGUGCCCUCCCAGGGCUCCCAGUGACCCUCCCCAAUGCUCCCAGUGCCACCCCAUCGCUCCCAGUGUCCCCAGAUACCCUCUUAGUGCUCUCCAAUACCUCCCAGUACCCUCCCAGUGCCAUCCCAGUGCUCCCACAGACCCUCCCCACU
ensembl:lncRNA